rfam:Salmo salar isolate Sally breed double haploid chromosome ssa14, whole genome shotgun sequence.
UAUGCACUCUACUGUAAGUCGCUCUGGAUAAGAGCGUCUGCUAAAUGACGUAAU